rnacentral:lncRNA from 1 species
UAGGAAAUUGAAUAAUUCUAGACUAAAUUGUGUCAAGUUAACCCUAACAAGACAAGGUAAAAUAUAGAAAUCAGAAAGUCACAGCUGUUUAAAUAACACAAAUACAUUCUGAAAAAGUUGCCUUGUAUACAAUUACUCUUGUGGUGUUAUACACACAGAGCUUCAUUUUUUUUAAUCUAGUUUUCUUGGUACUUUCAACUAGUUUUUCCAUCAGAAAAACACUCCUUUGAAUUGUGACAUAAGAAUGAGAAGAACUUUUUGAUUCCUCAAUUUCUAGCUGCCUUUUGAAAAGCCAACCUAAAAUUUUUUUGAGCCCAUUCAUCUUACAUUUAUGGUCUAAAAAAGUCUGCUGUAUUUCUUAUCAGAGAAGACAUUAAAGGAGAAGGGGGUUGGAAAAUCAUAAAGUUAACCUACCAUGAGGAGUCAAAUAACUAUUCAAAUUUUAGAAAAUUUGAAAGAAAAAUAUACAAAAUUAAGAAAAAAUAAAUCCUACCAGAUAACAACUAAGUGUGGGUAGUGAGAAGAAGAUGGAAAUAACUUAGAACAAAAAUGAAAAAUCAGUGAUCUAAUCAGCAUAGUAAAGGAAUUACAGAAAGU